GGGUAACCUGCGGAGGGAUCAUUACCGAGUUUACAACUCCAACCCCUGUGACAUACCUAUACGUUGCCUCGGCGGAUCAGCCCGCGCCCCGUAAAAAGGGACGGCCCGCCCGAGGACCCCUAAACUCUGUUUUUAGUGGAACUUCUGAGUAAAACAAACAAAUAAAUCAAAACUUUCAACAACGGAUCUCUUGGUUCUGGCAUCGAUGAAGAACGCAGCAAAAUGCGAUAAGUAAUGUGAAUUGCAGAAUUCAGUGAAUCAUCGAAUCUUUGAACGCACAUUGCGCCCGCCAGUAUUCUGGCGGGCAUGCCUGUUCGAGCGUCAUUUCAACCCUCAAGCUCAGCUUGGUGUUGGGACUCGCGGUAACCCGCGUUCCCCAAAUCGAUUGGCGGUCACGUCGAGCUUCCAUAGCGUAGUAAUCAUACACCUCGUUACUGGUAAUCGUCGCGGCCACGCCGUAAAACCCCAACUUCUGAAUGUUGACCUCGGAUCAGGUAGGAAUACCCGCUGAACUUAAGCAUAUCAAUAAGGCG
rnacentral:rRNA from 1 species